UCCAGCAAGCCUUUGUUUUCUAUAACAAAUCCACAUUUUGACCUCGGAUCAGGUAGGGAUACCCG
rnacentral:rRNA from 1 species